rnacentral:rRNA from 1 species
CCUACGGGAGGCAGCAGUGGGGAAUAUUGGGCAAUGGAGGCAACUCUGACCCAGCAACGCCGCGUGAGCGAUGAAGGUCUUCGGAUUGUAAAGCUCUAUCAGCAGGGAAGAAAAUGACGGUACCUGACUAAGAAGCCCCGGCUAACUACGUGCCAGCAGCCGCGGUAAUACGUAGGGGGCAAGCGUUAUCCGGAUUUACUGGGUGUAAAGGGAGCGUAGACGGCUAAUCAAGUCAGAAGUGAAAACCCAGGGCUCAACUUUGGGACUGCUUUUGAAACUGAGUAGCUAGAGUGCAGGAGAGGUAAGCGGAAUUCCUAGUGUAGCGGUGAAAUGCGUAGAUAUUAGGAGGAACACCAGUGGCGAAGGCGGCUUACUGGACUGUAACUGACGUUGAGGCUCGAAAGCGUGGGGAGCAAACAGGAUUAGAUACCCUUGUAGUC